AAGGUGGAUUUAUACGUAGCAGUGAAUUUUUAUGUGGGGCUGUGAGUAAGGAAUAGUAUGUGUACAUAUCGCCCGUCGUUCUCAUUAGAGACAAGUCGUAACAUAGUUGGUUAAUUGGAAAAUUGAUCUUUGUGU
rnacentral:rRNA from 1 species